rnacentral:ribozyme from 14 species
GGAGAGAAAGGGGUGAUCAACCACACAAUCUCUUUCUUCCUUUUCCCUUUCCUUUUUCUUUUGGGACAAUAAAAAAAAGAAAAAAAAAAGCAACACUUG